GAUGAACGCUGGCGGCGUGCCUAAUACAUGCAAGUCGAGCGAACGGACGAGAAGCUUGCUUCACUGAUGUUAGCGGCGGACGGGUGAGUAACACGUGGAUAACCUACCUAUAAGACUGGGAUAACUUCGGGAAACCGGAGCUAAUACCGGAUGAUAUUUUGAACCGCAUGGUUCAAAAGUGAAAGACGGUCUUGCUGUCACUUAUAGAUGGAUCCGCGCUGCAUUAGCUAGUUGGUAAGGUAACGGCUUACCAAGGCAACGAUGCAUAGCCAACCUGAGAGGGUGAUCGGCCACACUGGAACUGAGACACGGUCCAGACUCCUACGGGAGGCAGCAGUAGGGAAUCUUCCGCAAUGGGCGAAAGCCUGACGGAGCAACGCCGCGUGAGUGAUGAAGGUCUUCGGAUCGUAAAACUCUGUUAUUAGGGAAGAACAUAUGUGUAAGUAACUGUGCACAUCUUGACGGUACCUAAUCAGAAAGCCACGGCUAACUACGUG
rnacentral:rRNA from 1 species